UACGAAGGGGGCUAGCGUUGUUCGGAAUUACUGGGCGUAAAGCGCACGUAGGCGGAUUGUUAAGUGAGGGGUGAAAUCCCAGGGCUCAACCCUGGAACUGCCUUUCAUACUGGCAAUCUAGAGUCCAGAAGAGGUGAGUGGAAUUCCGAGUGUAGAGGUGAAAUUCGUAGAUAUUCGGAGGAACACCAGUGGCGAAGGCGGCUCACUGGUCUGGUACUGACGCUGAGGUGCGAAAGCGUGGGGAGCAAACAGGAUUAGAAACCCCAGUAGUCC
rnacentral:rRNA from 1 species